UUUAUUGCUUACGCAGUUACUCGGAGUAGCCUAGUGACGACAUGGUUUGGGGGCCUGGCGGCGGGCACCCCCUGGGGGGCCGGGGGCUCCGCCCUGGAGCCGCCCGCCGAGGCAACGUUUGGGUAUGUUCGCGAUGGUUUGGAGUCUUGCAACUCUUCAAUGAUCCCUCCGCUGGUUCACCAACGGAGA
rnacentral:misc_RNA from 1 species